AUCUCGAUCCUCCAAAACAAAUCUAACAAAUCUAACGCCUCUCAGACGUUGAAUUUAUUUUAGAGGGCUGGCUUGUGAUUCUCAAUCUGAAUCCCAUCGCGGACUACCUCACCCGACCAGACCACCAACAGUGACACCUCCAACAAGUAGAACGAGUCCUACACCAUCGCCUGUGGCGAGGAGUUCUUCUCGGUGGCGGCGGCGGCGAGGAGAAGGAGAGUCAAGGAGGACAUGCUGUCACUCCUGGCCCUAAUCCUGCAUACAAAAGCUCCACCAAAUGGAACAGAAAGCUCGCAUUUUCAUCCGGCGCACCACCUAACCCAACCAGGCACCUAGGGUGAUCCGGCUCGACGGCGGGCGCCGCUCCCAUCCAUGUCCAACAGUGAAAGCUUCUAAGAAGAACAAUGUCGUGGCGAACACAAAAUCCUCGAAGUUGACGCUAGUCGGGUACCCUCCAAGGAGGACGACAGUGGCCCAGGUGAAGGCCAGCGUGCCGAGGGCGUUGCCCGCCCUCUCCACGGAGGCGACAACUCGAACGAAGAGAUUCAGCUGCUUUUCCGGUGCCGUGUUAGGCAGCUGGGAUGCACAGCUCGCCUCAGGUUCUUCUUUUUAUCUUUGCAUGCAGGUAUCUGUGGAUGCUGUGAUGACUGACUGGUUCAGCUUCUUUUAAAGUAUCAGACCUGAUUACCUGAAGUUGCAGGAGAUCAUGAGACAGCCUAUACUCCCUCUGUCUCGUAAAAAUACCAAGCUAAUACUGGAUAUGACAUAUCCUAAUACUACGAAUAUGGAUAUACUAUGCUCAGAUUCGUAGUAUUAGGAGUCACAUCUAGUACUAUGUUGAUUUUUUGUGGGACGGACGGAGUAAGGCUCUCACGUACGGUUAAUCCAAUGAUGAGACAGCUGCGACUUCGAUUACUUCGCAUGCGAGGUUUCCUGGAUUGUUCUUGCUGUAGUGAAGUUUGGAGAAUAGUGACUUGGUGAAGUGGCAGGCGUUGCUGAUUGGCCGAAAGUCCCAGGACACCUUAUGGAUGAUGAGUGAGUGACACUCUUUUGCAAUCACUAAUGGGGAUCUCGGUUUAAUA